rnacentral:lncRNA from 1 species
CAUAUGCAAACACAUGGAGACUGAACAACAUGUAGGAUCUCUGUCCUUAAUAUGUUGUACUAUGUGAAUUAAUGCUAUAACUAGUACUCAAACAAUACUUUACACAACAACAAGAAAAAUUAUAGACCUUCUAAUGUUCAUAUUUAUGGAUUAGUAAUAGGUUUUGAGGGUAGACACUGUGUCACUGAAAUCUAUUUUCACUUCUUUUUACCUUGUGCAUUAAAGACAAGCUAACCAACAGCUGUAUUAAUAUGGAUUAAGAAAUCUGGAAGGUCAAAAUAAUUCAGUAAUAAUUUUCCCACUCAAUGGCAGUGUGAUCUUAGAAUUUGGAUGUAAUCAAAUUUAUCUACAUAUCCGUUUACUGUUUUAUGACAUGGUUAGAAAGACUUUUCUCGGAUUCAGCUUAUAAACACUUUAACCAUUUAUUUUCUGAGAGGUCAUCUAUAAUUGAGGAGAAGUUAGCAAGAGUCCAGAGGCUGAGUGUGGCUUUGAUCUCAGUGUCCAGCCUUUCUCAGUGCAAAUCAUUCUGGGCAGAAAGGUAGGAGUCACAUCAAUGAUUCGGUUGCCUUACUAAAGGUUAUCAAGGCCUCUCUUCCCUCCCCUUUCACCUCCCCCGUUCCCCCACUGUUUGUGAGCAUCUCUGUAUGUCUGCAGCAGUUUGCUUGUCUUGAAGAAAUUGUACGCAGGUAUAGCUUUAAACCUUAAAUCUGUUCUUUAUGUGUGUUUGGUUACUCUGACUUUGCUGAGAUUUAGGGCAUGUCGUUUCGUCACUGAUCAUCUUUAUCAAAUCAUUAAAAAACUGUAAUGCAUCUUAUUUGAUUUUGUAUAUGCAGAAUAUUCUUCGUAGAAUAUUCUCAUUCCCUAAAAAAAUUUGAAUACAAUUUGAUAUACAAAUCACUUUUUUAAUCCUAUGAUUUAAGCAAGAGGGCAAUAGUAUUAAUACUAUGGGUUUUCUUUGAAAAUAACAGUAGCCCUAAAUGCUCCACAUUAGAAUAAACCCUGGAAAAUUAAACA